rnacentral:misc_RNA from 1 species
AAGUCGUAACAAGGUUUCCGUAGGUGAACCUGCGGAAGGAUCAUUAUUGAAUAUUCCUGAUGAGUUGUAGCUGGCUCUUUGGAGCAUGUGCACGCUUGUCUUGAUCUUAUUCAUCCACCUGUGCACAUUUUGUAGUCUUUUGGGCUGAGUCGAGUAUCGGAUGGAUGUCUAUCCGGAUGUGAGGACUGCUGAGUGCGAAAGCAUACGGCUCUUCUCUGUUUGACCUCACCUUUGAGUACUAUGUAUUCAUAUACCACAUAGUAUGUUGUAGAAUGUGAUCAUUGGGCCUUUGUGCCUAUAAUAAUCAUAUACAACUUUCAGCAACGGAUCUCUUGGCUCUC